rnacentral:lncRNA from 1 species
AUUUGUUCAUCAGAAUCAACCAUAAGUAAGAGGAUGGAUGUGAGAAAUCGCAAGAACGAUGAAGUCAGUGUGUUUCAGAUGCCUCUUCACUACCCGAGAUACUCUAAAGAAGAUUACCUAGACAUGCCGGAAUGGAAACUCGACAGGGUUUUAGCAGACUACGGCUUGUCUACUUAUGGAGACUUGGCUCACAAGCGAGAGUUUGCUAUUGGAGCUUUCCUUUGGAUUUCAACUCACAGUCCAAAGCUUUAUCAAGACAAGUCAUCAACUACAAACUGAAGGAAGAAACACAAUCACCGAUUGCAUAAUGUUUUGAAACGUACAAAGUUUAUGCUAUGCUACCGUAGCCUACGAUAAAUGAUGUUGAGUAAUAAAGAAACAUGUAAAUCAGGAGUUUCUUAUAUCAAUGUUAUGCAAGCAGUUAAAACAAGGGUCAGAUUAGUGAAAUGGUAUUGUACUACUGCCUUAUGGUAAAAAAAAAUAGAUUUGAUCGUGUGUUUCUUUUAAAAUCUGGUUAAACGUUGGUGUGUAAAUUGUCUUCAAAGUCGUACAAGCUUUCUCCCCUCGUCUUAAAAAAAUAACAAAUCUGAAAUUUUCAUAAAAAGGGUGACAACUUAUAUUGGGUCUAAGACUUUGAAGCCACCCAAAACACAAGGUCUGAGAAGCAAAAUUUUGUCCACACCCCACCGGUUCAUUGAAUUCAGAAACCAUGUUUUAUGAAAUAAGGCUGAUAAUUUUUUGCAACUCUUAAUUUGGGCCAUAUCUAUAUAUAUCAAUUUCUAAAAUAUCCAAAACAAAAGUCAGUAAUACAGUGUAACACGUAUUCCAAUAAUGUUUUAAUUAAAUAAUUAGUUCUUCCAAUAAAAGGGCACUGGGCAGUGGGCACACCAUGCAGUAUUAUUUUUCUUUCAUUUUCUUUAUGAUUCAACAUUUUGAUAUAUUCUACAAAAUUUAAUUCAUAUAUAUUUCCUCGGAAUUCCGUCGGUAUAUUCCGAGGAAAUUCCGAGGAAACCAAAUUUUAUGUUUCCUCGGAAUUUCCUCGGAAAUUCCUCGGGAUAUUCCGAGGAUUUCAUUUUCCGUCGGAAUGUCCGUCAGAAUACCGUUGUUUUCUUGUAGUGUUCCUAUUCCUAUUAGGAAUAUGAUUUCCUUUUUCUCUUAUGACGGUUUAAAUAAGACGGUCUAAUACUUGUAUAAAUAUAGACCUAUGGUCAUGAGUAAUAAUAAGCUUACACAACAUCUCUUUUAUAACAAGGUAAGAUUUGUCUAUCUUGAUUAAUUAAUUUUAUUGGGAAUUAUAACAAAGUUGUUGGGUUUGGGUGGAGAAAGAUUUUGAAGUAUCUAGUGAAAUAUGUGAGCCAUGUAAGCAUAUCUCUGGAAUAGGAAUGUAUCAUGGGAUACAUAUGAAAACCAAGUAAAUAUAUCUUUGGAGUAUCUGGACCAAACCUUUUACUUAAAAUGCAAUUUUGAAAUUUCGUUUCUUUUUAUUUUUCUCAGUAUAGGUUUCCCCUUUAGAAAGUGUUUUAGAAACGACACUGGUUAAUGAUAAACAAGGAGAAUGGAGAGUUUGUUCAAAUUUAUCUGUACGUGCAAGUGAUCAGACUCAUCCAAGUAAUCCAAUAGUGUGUACAAUCCACAUAUUCAUGCGUUUAGCAAAGGCAAUGAAGAAGGUAAACAAACCAAUUCGUGUGACAAAAACUCACACGUUAAGUGUGUAAGCCACCACUUCCAACAUCCCUAUAUAGUCCUCCGAAGAACAUAAACGUAACACAUGCAUAUUUGUUCAUCAGAAUCAACCAUAAGUAAGAGGAUGGAUGUGAGAAAUCGCAAGAACGAUGAAGUCAGUGUGUUUCAGAUGCCUCUUCACUACCCGAGAUACUCUAAAGAAGAUUACCUAGACAUGCCGGAAUGGAAACUCGACAGGGUUUUAGCAGACUACGGCUUGUCUACUUAUGGAGACUUGGCUCACAAGCGAGAGUUUGCUAUUGGAGCUUUCCUUUGGAUUUCAACUCACAGUCCAAAGCUUUAUCAAGACAAGUCAUCAACUACAAACUGAAGGAAGAAACACAAUCACCGAUUGCAUAAUGUUUUGAAACGUACAAAGUUUAUGCUAUGCUACCGUAGCCUACGAUAAAUGAUGUUGAGUAAUAAAGAAACAUGUAAAUCAGGAGUUUCUUAUAUCAAUGUUAUGCAAGCAGUUAAAACAAGGGUCAGAUUAGUGAAAUGGUAUUGUACUACUGCCUUAUGGUAAAAAAAAAUAGAUUUGAUCGUGUGUUUCUUUUAAAAUCUGGUUAAACGUUGGUGUGUAAAUUGUCUUCAAAGUCGUACAAGCUUUCUCCCCUCG